rnacentral:lncRNA from 1 species
CCGCCACCCCACUGGGGAAGAAAGACUCACUCAUGACAGCUGAAUUGGCAAACAACCGACAACAAAGCACGUGCAGCUACGGGAGCAGGAAGGGAAGAGGGCUCGCCCUGAGUUGGUGAGUUUGGGGAAGGCUCCCAGGAAGAGGCAGACCAGAUUGGACAUGAGGGCAUUCGAGGAAAGAAAUUCGUCCUUCCAAACCCAGAGAAAUCCUGGCAGACGCCUGUCGAAGUCAAAGCAUCCAGCAGGUUGGGGACUGCCCCACAGAUAAGAGGCACAGUGACACCUGUGCAUGGACAGACCCGACGGCAUGGGAAGCAGAAUCAGAAACGUGACCACAUUCAAUCCUCAUCGUGACCCAGCAAGGGUGGGAUCAACAGCAACUCCAUUUUCUAUAUGAAGAAGAAAAACCAGGGCUUUUAAAGGAGCUAAGAUGACCUUUUCACAGUCGCAAAGCCACUGAGUGACGGAGCCAGGACUCAAACCCGGACUUGACCACAUCUGAAACCCACCUUCCUUCUUCUGCCAGGCACACACCCUGUGCCUCGGGGUGGGGUCUCUUGGCUCUAUGUAUAUUCCAGAAAGUCAUGCGAGUCAGGCAUGACCCUGAGUGACAUCCCCUUCUCAAUUGUAACCCAAAUUCCAAAGGCUGAAACUCGAGGUAAAACCGCUGCCUUGAAAUGUUCUACUGUUCUGCCGUCAAAGGGUGGCUGAAACCCAGCACGGGUCUGCGUAUCUGAAAUCAGAUGUCUGGCCCAGGACGCAUUCCAGAGAAGCUCCCUCUCUGGCUAAGGAGGAGCUCUUCUCUUUCCACUUAGAUUCAAGGAGUGUUUCAGCGGAGAGUGAAGGGCGCAAGGAGAGGCUGGCGGCUGCUUGAGAUAAGGGCCACCCUUGGAAGUCAGGAAAUGGUCCAGAGGCAGAAAUCAGAUAAGCCUCCUUCUCCCCCAGAAAACUAGGCCAGUGGCCCUCAAAGUACAGUCCCAGACCAGCCACAUCCUACUGCCUGGGAGCUUGUUAGAAAUAACACAUGUUCAGGCCCCCUGCACCGCACCUGCUGAAUCAGAAACCCUAGGGUGGGGCCCGCAUUUUAAUGAGCCCUCAGCUGAUUCUGAUGCCUGCUCAAGUUUGAGAAUGAUGUCCUCCAAGAAGAUGCCGCAGAAGAAAGGGGAAAUGAGCAUGUCAGGCUCUCUAGUUUAACAUGGCCGUAUUCACCAAAUAGUGCACUGUAUUCCCAUCCUCUCCACCGCCCACCCCUGCCCCCACUCUGUGGAGGGAUGUCCUUCCCAGCCCCAUUCUUACUGGGCUUGGCCAGGGGACUUGCUUUGGCCAGUGGAUUCAUCAGCAGGCAUGACAUAUGAUGCCACAUCUGAGCAGGAGUUUCAACUGCACCUGCAUCAACUGCCUUGGGCUUGUAAGCCUCUGCCCUCCUCUGGGAGACGCCAACUUCCCAGGCAGAGGGGGCUUCCUCAGCCUAGGUCCCACAGCAAAAUGAUGCACACAGCAGACCUGACCUCAACCCAAAGCCACAGGCAGCCCACAGACCCAUGAGCAGAAAAUAAAGAUUUGUUGUUUAAAGUCACUAAGCUUGCAGGUCGUUUCUUACACAGAAUUAUCACAGCAAAAGCUGACUGAUAUAAAUUAUUUGAUUUUAUAGCAAAGGAAAAACCAUGGUUCCAGCAGGCUGAGGUUUUGGGGACUCCUGCGGACAGACUCUCCUCCCAUUCUCAGGCCAGAGGUGAACCAUUCAGAGCCACCUGGGGAAGGGAGCCUCAAUAACUAACCUUCCUUCCACAAUGCCCUCUAGCCUCCUUCAAAGGGGAGGAUUGUGCCCUCACCUAAAAGAUGCUAACCAGUAAAUAUCUCAGCCUAAUAAUGUGGUAUUUUAAAAUACCUUCUAGAAGGAAUAAACAUUCCCAAGGAUGACCUUUCCCAUGACUCAGGAAGGAUGAACAGGUCAAGCUGAUGGGCCACGGGCACAGAGGACACACUCAACCCUUCCCUGGUCCUAACAAACCUGGGGACUCUGGGGCUUCUGUCCAACGUGAAACCAACUGGACAUUCCACCACUUCAGUUCAAGCCUGCAGUCCAGGCAUCCUGUGUAAACCACACUCC